GAUGAACGCUAGCGGCAGGCCUAACACAUGUAAGUCGAGGGGUAGAGGCUUUCGGGCCUUGAGACCGGCGCACGGGUGCGUAACGCGUAUGCAAUCUGCCUUGUACAGGGGGAUAGCCCAGAGAAAUUUGGAUUAAUACCCCAUGGUAUUUUUUGAUGGCAUCAUCAGAUUAUUAAAGUUCCAACGGUACAAGAUGAGCAUGCGUCCCAUUAGCUAGUUGGUAUGGUAACGGCAUACCAAGGCAAUGAUGGGUAGGGGUCCUGAGAGGGAGAUCCCCCACACUGGUACUGAGACACGGACCAGACUCCUACGGGAGGCAGCAGUGAGGAAUAUUGGUCAAUGGGCGAGAGCCUGAACCGGCCAUGCCGCGUGCAGGAUGAAGCAUCUAUGGUGUGUAAACUGCUUUUGUACGGGAAGAAACACCUCUACGUGUAGAGGCUUGACGGUACCGUAAGAAUAAGGAUCGGCUAACUCCGUGCCAGCCGCCGCGGUAAGAC
rnacentral:rRNA from 1 species